UUUAUGGAGAGUUUGAUCCUGGCUCAGGAUGAACGCUGGCGGCGUGCCUAAUACAUGCAAGUCGAGCGAACGGACGAGAAGCUUGCUUUUCUGAUGUUAGCGGCGGACGGGUGAGUAACACGUGGAUAACCUACCUAUAAGACUGGGAUAACUUCGGGAAACCGGAGCUAAUACCGGAUAAUAUUUUGAACCGCAUGGUUCAAAAGUGAAAGACGGUCUUGCUGUCACUUAUAGAUGGAUCCGCGCUGCAUUAGCUAGUUGGUAAGGUAACGGCUUACCAAGGCAACGAUGCAUAGCCGACCUGAGAGGGUGAUCGGCCACACUGGAACUGAGACACGGUCCAGACUCCUACGGGAGGCAGCAGUAGGGAAUCUUCCGCAAUGGGCGAAAGCCUGACGGAGCAACGCCGCGUGAGUGAUGAAGGUCUUCGGAUCGUAAAACUCUGUUAUUAGGGAAGAACAUAUGUGUAAGUAACUGUGCACAUCUUGACGGUACCUAAUCAGAAAGCCACGGCUAACUACGUGCCAGCAGCCGCGGUAAUACGUAGGUGGCAAGCGUUAUCCGGAAUUAUUGGGCGUAAAGCGCGCGUAGGCGGUUUUUUAAGUCUGAUGUGAAAGCCCACGGCUCAACCGUGGAGGGUCAUUGGAAACUGGAAAACUUGAGUGCAGAAGAGGAAAGUGGAAUUCCAUGUGUAGCGGUGAAAUGCGCAGAGAUAUGGAGGAACACCAGUGGCGAAGGCGACUUUCUGGUCUGUAACUGACGCUGAUGUGCGAAAGCGUGGGGAUCAAACAGGAUUAGAUACCCUGGUAGUCCACGCCGUAAACGAUG
rnacentral:rRNA from 1 species